UACGAAGGGGGCUAGCGUUGUUCGGAGUUACUGGGCGUAAAGCGCGCGCAGGCGGCGGUGCUGGCCCGGCGUGAAAGCCCCCGGCUCAACCGGGGAGGGUCGUCGGGGACCGCACCGCUUGAGGGCGGUAGGGGCUGGUGGAAUGCCUGGUGUAGUGGUGAAAUGCGUAGAGAUCAGGCGGAACACCCGUGGCGAAGGCGGCCAGCUGGGCCGUCCCUGACGCUGAGGCGCGAAGGCGUGGGGAGCGAACGGG
rnacentral:rRNA from 1 species